rnacentral:rRNA from 1 species
UACGGAGGGUGCAAGCGUUAAUCGGAAUUACUGGGCGUAAAGCGCACGCAGGUGGCUGUAUAAGUCGGAUGUGAAAGCCCCGGGCUUAACCUGGGAACUGCAUUCGAUACUGUGCAGCUAGAGUAUGGGAGAGGAAAGUGGAAUUCCCGGUGUAGCGGUGAAAUGCGUAGAUAUCGUGAGGAACACCAGAGGCGAAGGCGGUUUCCUGGACAGUUACUGACGCUCAGGCACGAAAGCGUGGGGAGCAAACAGG